AUUUACAUCAGUAAUGUUCAGCAGAAGUUUUAAUUUGACAUCUUUACAUUAUUAUUUAUUUUCUCGUCUUAAUCAAAACUCAUCAACCAUGUAUUAUAAACGUGCUGGCUGUGCUGGCCCUCGUCAGUGUCCCCCAAACUUAAACCCUCUCUCUCCUCAGGGCAGUGCCGGGUUCGGAUACCAGGGCUCUAAGGGUGAGCCGGGCCCCGCUGGCCCCGCAGGCCCCCCGGGGCCCCCCGGUCCCCCGGCUCAGUACUCCAUGAACAGCGAUGGGGCCGUGGUGUCCACUGUCCCCGGCCCUAUAGGCCCCCCAGGAGCCCCGGGCCCCCAGGGAAAGCCCGGCGACGACGGAGAGCCGGUCAGUGACACCAAAGCACUUUAUUAUUUUAACAUAAAGAGUCACAGGUUCGUGUUUCAGACCGAGCGUUUCUCUGUUUCAGGGAGAUCCAGGAGAAGACGGGAAAACUGUACGUCUCUGUCACUUCACCUUCAUGUUCAUUUAAGUUCAUCAAAGUCACAUGAGCCUGUUCUCCUCAGGGCCCUAAAGGACCUGCGGGAUUCCCAGGGACCCCUGGAGACACCGGCCCCAAAGGAGAGAAGGGCGAUCGUGGAGACGGUGACCCCGGACCCAGAGGCCCCCGGGGCCCCCAGGACCCCCCGGCCCUGGACUCAGAUCGGUGCGUGGAUCAUAGUGGAUGUUUCCAGGAAGGGCAUCAUGUUUAAAAGUGUAACUGUGUGUUUCAGACGUUUGUGGACAUGGAGGCCUCUGGGUUCCCCGACCUGGAGACGCUCAGGGUGAAGCUCCAUCAGAUAAAUGAAC
rnacentral:lncRNA from 1 species